CUUCUGUAAAUCUAAAAAUAUUCUAAAAUAAAUCAUUUCUUUGAAAAAAAGGAUGGAACAAGACGUAUCUCAAUUGACAAAGGCAGGGUCUUAAGUUACUUCAAUCAUAUGCUUAAAAAGUCACAGAGCCUCUAUUUUGACUUAAAAAAAAAUAAGUUAUUGUAGUUUAUUGUCAUUUAUCAGUUCUAGAUCCAAACCUUUUAUAUAAAAUCAAGAGACAUGACCUCUCCAAAUUCCAACCAAAAGGAACACUGAGGUUCAUAUCAAUUUACCGCAAAUCUCAGUCACUUGGAAAAAGGGCCUUCAUGAAAUUAAGUCAGGUACAAAACACUUUAUUCUAUCAUACACUUUCUUGAAACAACCACCUCCCACAAACUCAAUUGUGUCACAGGGCAUUUGGAGAGUUACCCAAAUUUUCAUCUCACUCAGAGACAAAAAUACUCAACCAAAACUACACCAUCUUACAUCUGGCCCAAAACUCAUGCCUCAAAAAUAAGACUUUACAGCCCUACAGUCUCCAUUAAAAUUGAGGUAAGAAGAGUUUGUAGUUUAGGAAGAAAGAAAUACUCAGGUGAACAAACAAUUCUUUAAGACUAAACACCUGUGCUGUGCUUUUAAAAUUAUAAUUGGAAAAAAACCCUCCCAUUUCUUUCAUAAAACUAUAUUUUAAAGGCUUCUUUCCUACUUCCACAUCAUCAACAUAAUGUACAAUUUAAAAUACAAUGAUCUCCUGCAAACGUCAACUAGCUCAUGAACCAAAUUAGAGCUUCUGAGUGGCUACUACUCAAAAAACCUGAAUUAAACUCCUAUUUGGUCACAGAAGUCACUCUUCUCAGGUAUACGCCCUAUAACUAAUUGUUUUAAUUUCCAUUUCUUAUCUUCAACUUAUUAUCAAUUUAACAUUGGCUCUUAAAUAAAACGUGCAGAAUGGAAGUCCCUGAAACUACUUGGUUUAAACAAAAUCUGGGCCCUAACCCCUAAGCUCGCUCACUAGCCCAGGUUAAGAGAAGGUGCUGUUCCAUGACUUUCUUCUCACAUAAGAAUAUGUUAUAUGCCAAAUAGACUUUUGAAUUGUGUUCAGUUGCCUUGGAGACAGAAUAGCAGCAAUGCUGUUAUAAUUUUAAGGUGAUUUUUAAAAUUAUUUUUAUUUUUAAGAUUAAGCAUCCUUAGUGACAAUCCAGAACACAGUCCUUGCUGCCUCUUUGGACACACACAUCUAAAACAGUGAAAACUGAUUCCUCAACUUUCUAUGACAAGGAAGCAAAAAAGAACAUGUUCACAAGCUGCAGUGGAAUUCUGCUGUCUCUUUUUCAAAAAAUCUUA